GUCAUAUGAGAUCCUUCCUAUCACUUGUGCUUUUUCCAUUGGAAUCGGUCUUGCCGCCGUUGUGGUUACCACGCGUUGAGGAGAGGGUGCAUAUUCAAACAGAUCAUUAGUGCUUGGCCGGUGCAAGUGCUGCUGCUGCUGCUGCAACGAUGGAUAAGGAUGGCGAGCGUUACGUGGAGUGUAAGGGGACUCGCUACGCUCUCAUGACACUCCCUCACUUUCGCAAGUUUCGCGACCUCGCUUUGUCGAGCGACUCGGCUUGGAAAACGCACUACUCCGACACCGUACUGAAGGUGGAGUCGAAACCUCCGGGCGACGGCUCUACGAACCUCAACAUAAUUAGGGCAACGCGCAUCAUGAAGAACGUUCCGCCGGGGGUGCUGUACAACCAACUGCACGACGCCCAGUACCGCGCAACGUGGGACACAAAUAUGCUGGAAGGGUACAACAUUGUUCAGCUAGAUAAGCACAACGACAUUGGCUAUUAUGCGGUGAAGUUCCCGUGGCCGUUGAGCAACCGCGACUUCUGCAACAUGCGCUCAUGGAUGGAGUUCACAAACGGCGAGUACAUUAUCUUCAACCACUCCGAGCCGCACCCCGAUUGCCCUGUGAAGAAGGGCUUUGUCAGAGCCCGCUCCAUCUUGACGGGCUUCUACAUUCGGCCCAUUUCAGGCGAAAGGGGCACGCAGCUGGUCUACGUCAGCCAUAGCGACCCCUGCGGCUCCAUCCCCCAUAGCGUUAUCAACUUUGCUAUGACGAAGGGAGCACGCAUGAUCCUGGACAAUUGCGAAAAGUACUCGGAGAGGUACCCGGCCUACGUGGCGAAGAUGUAUCCGGCGGACCACGUGUAUCCAUGGCGCACGCCCAAGAUGAACUGGGACAGCCCCUACCUGUACCCAGAAGACGUUCCUCCGAACACUGAGCCAGCAACGGAGCACCAGCAGCCAGAGGCUGGCGGCAGCGGUGGCGAGAAAGGGGAAGGCAAUGAGCGAUCCGGCGAAGAAAAAGCCGUCCCGUUUCUCUCCAGCAAUGCCGGGUUAUUGGGGACGUCACUGCCGCUUGCCCCUGUUGCCCCGUACCGCAUCACGGAUCUCCUUUCCGUUCAGCAGUACCGCUCUAUCAUGCAGGACGCCAUGAACACGGUAGACCGUUCUUUUCUCCGCGAGGGACGCGUGCCGACCACAAAGGAGUACAUUGUCCGACUCAAGUACAUGGUCGAAGGUAUCCGCCGGACCACUGUGGACGUCUAGGCGGCGGCAACCGUUUCUGCUGAUGUCAUCCAUGGUUCCCGUCUAUUUGAUACUUGCAUGGUAUUUACCCCAGCUCAUGACGCCGAUGGCGUGUCACGCGCAGCGGCCCCAGCGGCCUCCCUUUUCGCUUUCGCCCUUCCUCUCCAUCAGCGCAUCCCUGUCCGAUGGCGACGUGCCGUGUCGGCUGCAUUUGUGCGCCUCUGUGCGCGGGCAAUUCGGCUCACCUUUUUGCGUUACGCGUUUCUCUCUUUUUUUUAGUGUUGUUGCCGCGUCCCUUUUGGCUUCUCUUUCGGGGAGAUGGGUGUAUUUUUUGGCGCCCGGCGCCGCUCCUUACGUACGCUGUACCUGUGCCUGUGUGUAUCGCGAUGUGCGCACAUACACAGACCCUUGCAUCUUCCUCCACUCCUUUUGCCAUUCUCUCUCUGUUUGGCGUUCGAAGCGAGCGAAAC
rnacentral:misc_RNA from 1 species